GGUAUUUCCGGCAAGAGUCAAGUUCUUUUUGCACUGGUAUUCACCACACGAUACCUUGAUCUUUUUAUGUCGUAUAUAUCACUUUAUAAUUCUGUUAUGAAAUGUAUAUUCAUUGCGUGCUCAUAUGCAACUGUCUAUCUGAUCUUUGUGAAAUUUAAAGCAACGUACGAUUCAAAUCACGACACAUUCCGAAUGGAGUUCAUUGUUGUCCCCGUUGCUGGUCUUGCUGUUCUUGUUAACCAUAGUUUGACGCUUGUUGAGGUAAUAAGAGACAAAACUAAAUUUAUUUAUACUGGAUUGAUCUGUCAGUUAUAUCUGGUAGUAUUUUUACUCCUCCAGUGACUGAGGUGAAAUUAUAAUCAAACAACUGCAUGAAACAAGGACACAUAACAAUUGGGUUGAACACAAGUAUUUUACAGGGACCUGUUGCUAAAUUUAUUAAUUAAAUUAACUAAUAUUCCCAAACUUCCCAAAGGUUUUGUGGACGUUUUCCAUCUACCUUGAGUCGCUGGCCAUUCUACCGCAGCUGUUCAUGAUCUCAAAGACAGGAGAGGCAGAGACAAUUACAAGUCAUUAUCUGUUCGCCCUUGGUUCUUACCGAGCUCUGUACUUAGCCAAUUGGAUUCUGCGCUAUGCUUCCGAAGGGUUCUAUGACCUUAUUGCUGUCGUCGCAGGAUGUGUGCAGACUGUUCUCUACUGUGAUUUCUUCUAUCUGUAUAUUACUAAAGGUAGGUUAGGAAUUGGUUGGUGAUAAUGAUGAUGUUGAUGAUAAUGGUGAUGGUGGUGGUUAUCUUGAUGAUGAUAAUGAUGGUUGUGAUGAUAGUUGUGAUGGUAGUUAGUGGUGAUGAUGAUGGUGAUGAUGAUGAUGAUGGUGGUGAUGAUGGUGGUGGUGGUGAUAAUGAUGAUGAUGGUGGUGGUGGUGAUAAUGAUGAUGAUGGUGGUGAUAAUGAUGAUGAUGGUGGUGAUAAUGAUGAUGAUGGUGGUGAUAAUGAUGAUGGUGAUGAUGGUGGUGGUGAUGGUGGUGAUAAUGAUGAUGAUGGUGGUGAUAAUGAUGAUGGUGAUGAUGAUGAUGGUGGUGAUGAUGAUGGUGAUGGUGGUGAUAAUGAUGAUGAUGGUAGUGAUGAUGGUGGUGAUGAUGGUAAUGAUGAUAGUAAUGAUGAUGGUGGUGGUGAUGAUGGUGGUGAUGAUGAUGGUAAUGAUGAUGAUGGUCAUGAUGAUGAUGAUGAUGACAAUCUAGUAAAACCAGUUUUAUUUCUUUUUUAGUUUUGAAAGGAAAGUCAUUGAAACUACCAGCAUAAGAAAGUGUCUGGCUGCUAUAAAGACUUGAAAACAAACUAUUACACUCUAUGAAUUGUACUGUAUGUUAAUAAUGCUAACAUAACAAUCUAAAAUGAAUUUAUUGCUCACAGUUUGGGCAUUUGCAUACAUCCUCAUUUCUUUGGUCUUUGUUAAAAUAAUUGUUAAAGUAAGUAACAUUGAUGUAUGCAGGUGUGAAACAGUUUGCACAUUUUACCUGCAUAGCUGGGUCAGCGGCGCACAUUCAACAAAUUGCUUGGGGGACAAUCUAGGAGCUACUUUCUUAUUGUGCAACAGACAUUUGUGGGUACACAAUAGCACAAAAAUAUGGAAAUGCAUGGGUUGUAAGUUCUCAGGUUAUGUUAAUAUUGAAUUUUUACAUAUUGCCAACAUACUUGUCAAUCCAAAUUUACUGAUAGGAUUUGAAUAACUCUUAUCGCAGAAAAUUGGAACUGACUUUUGGCACACUCUUAAAGAAAACUGGGACUGAUGUUUUGUGACCCCCCCCCCCCUCAAAAUGUACACUUUUGAGCUGGGUUUCACUAAGAAAUAUCUUGGAGCAGAUGGUGGCAACUGGCAGUUACCAACCAGAGUGAGAAAAUAAUAUUAAAUUUACUUCAAAAUAACAAAGGGAAAAGACAUUAAUAAGUUAAAUUCUUAAAAUUGAAGUUGCCUGCCAUCUGCUGCCCUUAUUGCUUAUUGAAACCAACCAUGACGCUUGCUGACAUACUGUAGUAAAGUUUUUUUAUCUUUCAAGAUAUAUAGUAAAUAAAGAAUUUAGAAUCUGAUUUCAGGAUUACUUUAAAAUAAAGAAAUUUAAGAGAUUUUGUAUCACCAUUAAUACCAUACGUGUUAAAUAAGUUAUAGCUACGAGAUUUGUCGCCAUAGUAUUGCUGCAUAAUAGAGAGCUGUUUCAAAUGUUGAGUUCUUAUUAAUACGGUUAUUACAAAUUUUU
rnacentral:lncRNA from 1 species